rnacentral:rRNA from 1 species
UACGUAGGGAGCAAGCGUUGUUCGGAUUUACUGGGCGUAAAGGGCGCGUAGGCGGCGCGGUAAGUCACUUGUGAAAUCUCUGAGCUUAACUCAGAACGGCCAAGUGAUACUGCAGUGCUAGAGUGCAGAAGGGGCAAUCGGAAUUCUUGGUGUAGCGGUGAAAUGCGUAGAUAUCAAGAGGAACACCUGAGGUGAAGACGGGUUGCUGGGCUGACACUGACGCUGAGUGCGCGAAAGCCAGGGGAGCAAACAGG